UGAAGAAGCUGACAGGGUGUUUACAGA
rnacentral:piRNA from 1 species